UCAUUAACAUGUGUUCAGGAACUGCCAUUAACCGUAUGUUGCAGAGUGGUGACGAAAAGUCGUCUUCCCGUAAAACGCACUUGUAUGCCUCGAGCCGCCAGCCACGUGAAAUCAUGGCUUUC
rnacentral:ribozyme from 1 species